GCCUCCUGUUGGACGUGAGAUGUGUCCAAGCAUCAGCCCCUUUCGCUUAAGAAAAACUCUUUAACUUCCACGCAGCCGACAGGCAGGCUUUUCUAAGAUCCUGUGGACCCAACAUUGUAUCGAUAGAGUUAUAUCUUUUUAUUUAUAUAUACAUAGACACACACAGGUGUGUAUGCGUAUGUGUGUUUGUACGUAUGUAUAUAGAGAGACAGAAAUAGAUAAAUUAAAGCCGCAGCUCUGUUGCAAGCUCCUCUAAAAUUUCCUGCUCGCCAGAGUAGCUCUCUGCAUCGUUUUGUUAAAUACAGCCCGGCGGGAAAGCCAUCAUCAGUCAAUUUCGGGUAACAAGGAAGACUUGUUGAACACCUUGUUCUCCAGACCCCGGGAAGAUGCUGGGCUGCUGGAGCGUGGAAGAGCCAGGAUUGUGCCCUGAACUUCACCCACUUGGCAGCCGCUAUUCAUAAACCAUUUCCCCUUUCCUCCCCUGCCUCUGCCUCCCGGACUGGGAAUCUGCUCUUUAAAGUUGACCUGAAGGGGAAAGCAGAGACGAGCUUGUGCAUAGUUUGGAGGUUAUCUUUGAACAGACCUGGACUCCUUAGAAAAAAAAGUGUUGUUUUGAUUUGCUGAACGAGUUGCAGUUCAUUUUGGAUCUCACAUAUUUCUUCUGCAUCUGGACUAGAACAUUCAACCGGCUGAAAAGGCACUUUAACGUGAAAGCGUUGUUAUUUUCAGAGGAACAUCUUAUUCUGCAGCCUUCCAGAUUCAGGGAUACAUGAAGACUCUAACUUUGACAGGAGUUCGUGUGUAUUCUAGCGUUAAAAGAAAUCCUGAAAUGAUAGAUGUGAAAUACUCAAAGGAUCUAAAAUAA